CGACCUCAGGUCAGGCAAGACAACCCGCUGAGUUUAAGCAUAUCACUAAGCGGAGGAAAAGAAACUAACAAGGAUUUCCCUAGUAGCGGCGAGCGAAACGGAAAGAGCCCAGCUUGGAAAUCGGGGUGUCUCUGCACCCCGAAUUGUAGUCUGGAGAAGGGUCCUCUGCAGCGGACCGGGUUUAAGUCCCUUGGAACGGGACGCCAGAGAGGGUGAGAGCCCCGUCUAGCCCGGACCCUGCUGCAUCACGAGGCUCUUUCGGCGAGUCGGGCUGUUUGGGAAUGCAGCCUUAAGUGGGUGGUAAAUUCCAUCCAAGGCUAAAUACUGGUGAGAGACCGAUAGCGCACAAGUACCGCGAGGGAAAGAUGAAAAGGACUUUGAAAAGAGAGUUAAAAAGUGCUUGAAAUUGCUGGGAGGGAAGCGAAUGGAUGCCUUGUGCGCCCCUUGGUUGUGUGUGGAACGGCGAGAGCUGGUCUGCCAAGCAAUGCAAGGGGCUGUCCAGCAUGGGAGGACGCGGCGGGAUAACGGCUUGUGAGCCUCUGGCUCCCUGCCAAUGCCGCCGCUGCCUCUGAAAAUGGCGGGGUGCUCCGGUGCCCCGCCAGAUGCUGGAACUUGGGCGUUCCAUCCGACCCGUCUUGAAACACGGACCAAGGAGUCUAACAUGUAUGCGAGUCUGUGGGUGUUAAACCCGUACAGGCGAAAGGAAACUAAUUCGUGGGAUCCCCUUCGGGGGUGCACCACGGACCGACCUUGAUCUUUUGAGAAGGGUUUGAGUGUUAGCAUACCUGCUGGGACCCGAAAGAUGGUGAACUAUGCCUGAGCAGGGCGAAGCCAGAGGAAACUCUGGUGGAGGCUCGUAGCGAUACUGACGUGCAAAUCGUUCGUCAGACUUGGGUAUAGGGGCGAAAGACUAAUCGAACCAUCUAGUAGCUGGUACCCUCCGAAGUUUCCCUCAGGAUAGCUGGAGCUCUUGCUGAGUUUUAUCGGGUAAAGCGAAUGAUUAGAGGCAUCGGGGGUGAAACACCCUCGACCUAUUCUCAAACUUUAAAUAGGUAAAGCAGCCGGGGUUGCUCUGUUGAGCCCCGGCCGUGAAUGCGAGCUCCAAGUGGGCCAUUUUUGGUAAGCAGAACUGGCGAUGCGGGAUGAACCGAAAGCCGGGCUACGGUGCCAAAGUGCGCGCUAACCCAGAUCCCACAAAGGGUGUUGAUUGAUUAAGACAGCAGGACGGUGGUCAUGGAAGUCGAAAUCCGCUAAGGAGUGUGUAACAACUCACCUGCCGAAUCAACUAGCCCCGAAAAUGGAUGGCGCUUAAGCGCGCGGCCUAUGCCCGGCCAUCGCGGCGAUUGCGAGGCCCCGAUGAGUAGGAGGGCGUGGGGGUCGUGGUGCAGCUCUGGGCGCGAGCCCGAGUGAAACGGCCCCCAGUGCAGAUCUUGGUGGUAGUAGCAAGUAUUCAAAUGAGAACUUUGAAGACUGAAGUGGAGAAAGGUUCCAUGUGAACAGCAAUUGGACAUGGGUUAGUCGAUCCUAAGAGAUGGGGAAAUCCUGUGUGAAGGGCGCAAUGCGCGCCGCCCAUCGAAAGGGAAUCGGGUUAAUAUUCCCGAACCGGGACAAGGCAGUGGGCGGUAACGCCGACGAAUCCAGAGACACUGGCGGGGGCCCCGGGAAGAGUUAUCUUUUCUUUUUAACGGCCUGCCGACCCUGAAAUCGGUUCAACCGGAGAUAGGGUCUCACGGCCGGCAGAGCACCGCACGUCCUGCGGUGUCCGGUGCGCCCCCGGCGGUCCUUGAAAAUCUGGAGGAGCGAGUGCUGAGCUUGCCCGGUCGUACUCAUAACCGCAUCAGGUCUCCAAGGUGAGCAGCCUCUAGUCGAUGGAACAAUGUAGGUAAGGGAAGUCGGCAAAAUGGAUCCGUAACUUCGGGAAAAGGAUUGGCUCUGAGGGUUGGGCUUAGGGGUCUGCGGCUUGACCCUGUAGGCUGCUGGCGGUCUGCCCGAGCUGCUUGCGCGGCGAGGGCGGGCCCCGGCGUGCCGACCUGGUGACGGACGCAGAACGCCCCUCCCCGCGGGGGGCAUUCCCUAGGCAUCGAACAACCGACUCAGAACUGGAACGGACAAGGGGAAUCCGACUGUUUAAUUAAAACAAAGC
rnacentral:ncRNA from 1 species